CCCAGACUCCUACGGGAGGCAGCAGUGGGGAAUAUUGGACAAUGGGGGGAACCCUGAUCCAGCGACGCCGCGUGAGUGAAGAAGUAUUUCGGUAUGUAAAGCUCUAUCAGCAGGGAAGAAAGAAAUGACGGUACCUGAGUAAGAAGCACCGGCUAAAUACGUGCCAGCAGCCGCGGUAAUACGUAUGGUGCAGGCGUUAUCCGGAUUUACUGGGUGUAAAGGGAGCGCAGGCGGCACGGCAAGCCUGAUGUGAAAGCCCGCGGCCCAACCGCGGGACUGCAUUGGGAACUACCGGGCUGGAGUGCCGGAGAGGUAGGCGGAAUUCCUAGUGUAGCGGUGAAAUGCGUAGAUAUUAGGAGGAACACCAGUGGCGAAGGCGGCCUACUGGACGGUGACUGACGCUGAGGCUCGAAAGCGUGGGUAGCGAACGGGAUUAGAUACCCGCGUAA
rnacentral:rRNA from 1 species